GGGGUUAUAGCUCAGUGGUAGAGAAUUCAACUGCAGAUCGAGAGAUCCCAAUUCAAAAUUGGGUGCCCCCC